UACGUAGGUGGCAAGCGUUGUCCGGAAUUAUUGGGCGUAAAGCGCGCGCAGGCGGUCCCUUAAGUCUGAUGUGAAAGCCCACGGCUCAACCGUGGAGGGUCAUUGGAAACUGGAGGACUUGAGUGCAGAAGAGGAAAGUGGAAUUCCAUGUGUAGCGGUGAAAUGCGUAGAGAUGUGGAGGAACACCAGUGGCGAAGGCGACUUUCUGGUCUGUAACUGACGCUGAGGCGCGAAAGCGUGGGGAGCAAACAGG
rnacentral:rRNA from 1 species